GCGAGCGGGCCGUGCCGAAGGGGCGAGGCAGCCCGCUGGCCCGGGGAGGAGGUGGGACCCCCCUGACUGCCCCACGGACUGUUCACUUCAGGGCUUAUAACUUGGGGGGGGGGAAGAUUCCGGCCCCAUUGAGGACAAUGGCAAACCGCCCCCUCCUCUCACGAGGGCAGGAGCUCAGCCCCGCCCGGGAUGAAGUCGGCUGUGUGCUGAGGCCACGGAAACGCGCUCGCUGCCUUCGCUUGUGUAAACCCAUGUUUUGGGGCGGGGUUCAGCCUGCUCCCUACGGCAACGGGAAGCGUGCGUCUCUUCCCUCCCGCGGAGACCCCCUUCCGGCGCCUGAGCUGCAAGCACGCUUGGCUGGGCUCUCCCCGCGCGGGGGUCAGGCCCGGGUCAGUGGACACCACACUAUGGCAGACUCCAGUCCUGCAAGAUCAAGUGACACCUGAAGUGGUUCAAGAGGCUGAAUUCUGCACCCUGAUUUAAGUGUCUCAUCAACUCUUGCAGGGAAAGCAUGGAAACCUGAAUUUGAGUCUUACAGGUCAGAUACAACCUGGGCAAAAGCAGUUCAACCUUCUCCACGCUGAUUUGCCAACAUCUCUCAAACCUUAACAUACAGAGAUUGCCUCUAGGGAUGAGAAACACAUCACCGCAGGAACUCUCUGUUACUACGUGGUUGUGCAGGGCCAAGUACAAUGGGGCUCUGAUACUGGGGGGAGAAAAAGGAAGAUGUAGAUGGAAGAAGGAUGCAAAUCAACAGUGGGAAUUCAAAUUUCAGAUGAUCUUAGAUUCUACAUUGUUACCGUGCCUACCAGAUGAAUUAGAGACAACGUAAGAAGCCAAAUGGAGAUAUUGAUGUGCCUACCUUUUUUUUUAGUUGUACAGAUUUAGACACUGGCAGUAAACCAGCUGCUACUCUAUGGAAGGCCACAGCCUGGAGAAAAGUUCAGGCUGAAGAAACUCAACACAGAAAAAGACCAACACAGUAAAGCAAAGAUUAAUCGAGUUUAUUGCUACCACAAUCAAGCUUGAGGGUGCUGAGAAAAACAACGCGCAAAGCAGAAGAGAGUCAUUAUUAAAGCUGCAAAACAGAGGUGGGGCCCAGUUUUAAAAUGUGGACAUCCUUGUCUCUCUUUUGGACAGGAAAUCCAAAUGCAAAUACAUGUGAUAUACCUAAGUAUCAAUGAGAACAUCCAAAUAUAGGGUUUACUAAAGUACCCCAUAUUUGAAAAUUGGGCCUGCAUUCGAAGACAAGAUGGAUCCAAAGAUGGCUCCAUUUAUAUGCAUACUCUGAACUCAGUCUGUUGGAAUACUUCCAAUUGUGUACUAUGAGAUUUAAAAAUAAAAUGUAAUAGUAAAUAUCGCUUAAUCUUUCUUUGUAAAAGAAUGGGGCUCUAACAUAGGAAGUAAAUUGCUCAGUGAGGAAAUGAACAGGUUGCACUGGGAAACAAGGUGUUAAGAAGGACUGAGCUAUGAUAUGAGGACUUACAUAUUUAGAGUCUGUACUUUAUUGUUUCCCCAGUGUCUUAUAAAUAUUAUUGAAUGCUUCCAUAGCAAACAGUGACAGAAUU